AACUUUUGGCAACGGAUCUCUUGGUUCUGGCAACGAUGAAGAACGCAGCGAAAUGCGAUAAGUAAUGUCAAUUGCAGAAUUUAGUGAAUCAUCGAAUCUUUGAACGCACAUUGCGCCUCCUGGUAUUCCGGGAGGCACACCUGUUCGAGCGCCAUUUCUACCCUGGAGCCCUGCUCUGUGAUGGGCCCCGUCCUCGCGGACGGGCCCGAAACCCGUGGGCGCCGUCGUCCGGUCCCGAGCGUAGCAAGAGUAAUCCCUCGCUCGGAGCGCCAGGCGGUGGCCGCCCCGACCUAUUUUAUAAGGUUGGCCUCGGAUCAGGUGGGGAUACCCGCUGAACUUAAGCAUAUCAAUAAGCGGAGGCU
rnacentral:misc_RNA from 1 species